CUCCUGUAUCCCUUGGGUAAAUUCCUAGCAGUGCUAUUGCUGGCUCAUAGGGUAUGACUCAUGUUUAAAUGGAGUCCAUUCUAUCUGCAUUUGCUACAGGAUAAUGUGGAGUGAUAGGGUUGAGAGGAGAUGCUGGGAAGGGCGUGACAGAGUGAGCUGGGCAAUCCCCAGAAUGAAUUAAGAAGUAUCAUUUGAACAGCUGCUCGUCUAUCACUGACUUUUGCAGAGAGGGUGUUUCACUGCAGACUCUGAUAUUGAGAAGGUAGAGGUGGCUCAUGGUGUAUCCCAAGUCUCAGUCUUCCUGUGUGUUAUGGGUUGAGUUGUGUGCCCUCCUCCUUCCCCUCCCCAACAUUAAUAAAGUCCUAACUCCCAGUACCUCAGAAUAUGACCUAGUUGGAGGUAGGGACAUCGCAGAUGUAAUUAGUUAAAAGGAGGUCACACUGGAGCAGAGUGGGCCCCUUAUCCAUAUGACUGGUGUCCUUGUAAAAGAACCCACGUGAAGAAACGGACACACACACAGGAAGAAUGGCAAGUGAGCAUGAAGGCAGAGAGUGGAUGAUGCCAUCUACAAGCCCAGGAGGGAGACCUGGGAUAGAUGGUUCCCUCACAUCUCUCAGACGGAGCCAAACCUGCCGACAUCUUGAUCUCGGAUUUCCAGCCUCCAGACCUGGGAGGCAAGAGCUUUUUGUUGAUAAGCCGCCCCGUGUGUGGUACUUUGUUCCAGCAAUCCUAGCAAGCGAGCACAUACUCCCUGCAUUUUGAUUUGGUGACUGACCCUUCCUUUCUGUAACAUCUGGUAGUUUCCCUGGACUGGGGUGCUAGACUUUAGAUACUGAGCUUGAUGUGUUUGCAGAAUCCGGGUCUCUGUCAGUCCGCCUUAGUUCUGCAGCCAGAACUCUCUCUCUGUGUCCUCCCAAUGUCCCUGCGUUGGGUCACGAGUCAGGCUACUCUUUCAGGAUUAUGGUUCUUCCUUUGAGAGAAACUUCUGAGGAAAUUAUGUCAACUCUUACAUACUCUCUAAUUUUACUACAUUUUAUUUUAUUUGUUUGACUGAUGUUCUUUAUAGUUUUAACGUGAGGCAGAGAUUUGCUUCACUUAAUUUAAAAAUGGAGUUUCCGUACCUUUGGGGUCAUUUUGUUGUCUGAUGGAUUUCAGUGAGUGUGGUGGACUGAACAUAACUUUCUUCUACCAUCUAUAAGUAAGUACUUAAAAAAGCCUUAUGGUGACAAACAUUUCCAUUUUGAUUUUUCAGAUAAAUAAGCUCAGUCAAGGAAUUUAUUUAACAGCAAGGGGAUUUAUGAUGAAAAUGAGAGCUGGUGCCCUAAGAGUCUCUGUCAUGCUGGUAGUUUGGUGUAUGUCGAUUGAAAGUGUGUGUAAACACCUCUGUCAAGCACUGGGCUGAGUGUGGGACAUCUCUGUGUCUUCCCUCAGAGAAAUGAUAAUAGUCCUUCGGUGGGGCGUGAAGGUAGGAAAAAAAAAAGGAAUUAUAAUCCAGUGUGGUAAGUGCAGUCUCAGAGAUAUGGAUAGACAGGUUCUUUGGGGUCUAGACUCCAGAUUCUAGAGGAGUAACUCUAACCUGAUUAACAGGCACUGAAUUAGAGGCUACAUUUGUUACUUCCAGAGCUGAUUUUGACUGGGAUAGACAUGGAUCACUUCUAGUGCAGACAAGAGGGAUGUUCCAGAGGUAAUCUCAAAUUAAAGUUUUAUGCCAGGGGUUGACAAGCUUUUUGUAAAAGGGUCAGAUAAUAAAUAUUUUAGACUUUGUCGGCCAUACUUGGUCUUUGUCCCAUAUUCUGCCUCCCCCUUUUUAAACACAACCCCUUAAAAAUGUGAAAAUCGUUCAUAGCUCUUGGGUCACAUACAAAUAGGAGCGGACUAGAGUUGGCCAACCCUUGUUCUAUUCCAGAGUGCAUCUUAAAUUCAUUCCAUACUUAUCUCUAAGUCUUGGGAAUGGCUCCAAACCAAUAGAACAAGAUCUCAGAUAGGAAUGCUGUUGAGAGUUAACCAAGCCUCAGAGUGGAGUAGACUGUGUUAUUGUUGUCGUUGGCUGCCCUUUGUGGAGGGAUGUGUGUGCCUACUCCUGCCAUGUGGCUUGCAGUGUUGCGCCCUAUAGGUGGAUUUCCUUCAGCAAACAUUGGGCAGGCUGGGCUCUAUAAAAACAUGAGUGGAAAGGUGGUGUGCCUCUUCCUGGUAGAAGCUGAAGAGUCAUCAUGUGGUCGCACCGUUAUGUGUUUCUGCCACUGGUUGGAUCCACCAUUGCAUUCUCGUUCUUCCUUGAGAUCAACAUGAUCCAGAUGGGCUUGGUCCCAGGAUGAAAAGACACAGAGCAGAGUCACAACCAACUCUCAGUUGAUCUGUAACAUAAGUGAGAAUUAAAUCUUUGUUCUUAGAAGCCCGUGAGCUUAUUUGUUUAUUUGUUUGUUUGUGUAUUACAGUUAUAUUAUGUAAGGAAGCUGCCUAGCACACAAAGAAACUUGUGUCCCCCAGUUUGGUCCACCCUUCUGAGCUGAGCAGACGUGGAACAAAAGAGUGGAGUAUGUUUUAAUGCAUGAGUAAACUUAAAAAAAAUAAUUAUCACAUUUCUUAUUUUAUAAAAUUAGCUCAUUUUAGAGAGGGGCAAGACUUGCUACAGAUUGUUCAGAGUUCUAAGCAAGGAAAUUUAGAAAAGCAGAAGCAGGAGGCAUGUACAUCAAGCCAAUGUUGCCCCAACAGCUGAUUGUCCGGGAAACCCAGAGAACACUGAACCCAAAAAACAGUCAAGGUAAGCAUGACUUGUGUUUAUGAAUAAUGCAUAGCUAAAAAGUGAAAUAACAACACUGCAACUAUUUCUAAAUAAUGGUCUAUAAAUAAUAAGCAAAGUUUUAAUCACUAGGCCAAGUAAUAAAACCUGUCCACGGCGCUGAGCCUUUUUGAGUUUCGGAGCAUUAGUUGCUUACAAAGUGCCGUUAUCUUCAAAUGCUAAGAUCUGCAUCUGUAAAUUCCACUGCCAAUUCAGGAUCUUGUCCUUGCCAGUUGAUGAACAUACAGGAUUAACUUUUAGUGUCGGAGAUUCCUUUGCAGGCUCCUCUCAUGUAGGUUGAACAUAUUUAUUAAUAAUGAUAAAUGACAUGUCCUGAACAGUUUACAUGUGCCAGAUAUGACGCUAAAUGCUUCAGAUGACUUCCUCAUCGCUCUCAACCCUGGAGCAACUUUGUGAAGCAGGGUAAGCAUAAUAUGUGGCCUGAAAACCGACCUCCUGAGACCAGUUCCUUGGACUCCCUAUACCUGAAUUUUUGGAUCAAACGUUUAAUGUUUCAGGCUAAUGUUUUAAAAAUGGAAAUGAAUCAGAAGACAGAGGGUGCCUCUGGGAUCUCAAACUGGUUUUUGUCCUCUUUUCACAGAAGAACGAAGGAGAACAUUCUUACCUGUCUGGAAGCCGUCUAUCUAUUUCGGUCAUUUAAACCCCCCAAAAGUGAGUCUAAUGAAGGAGUUUUCCGAGAAGGAGAGGAAGACCAGCUAGCAAAAAGGUAUCACCUAGGUCCUAUUAAUCCAGCUCCCCAAUUAGCAUCUUCUGGAGUGGGAUGCUUUGUGCGACCUCAAUGGCCAUGGGCAGUGAUGUUGGUACAGAAUCAGUGGGCUUUGCAAAGGUAUGUGCUUAUGAUGUGGAAACAAUCUGUCACACGUAGCAAGAGUUCUGUGUGUGUGCGUGUGCGCACACACGUCUGUCUGUCUGUCUUCUCUGUGUCCCUGUGUCUGGACCUCCACCGAAUUGUGUGUCAGCAUAUUUGGUGCACAGAUGUGGGCUACAAGUGCUGUCUGAUAUCGCCCCCUCCCCCACUGACGUUGAAGACCUUCUUUUACCACCAAAGCAGGCUCUCAUGCAUGAUCGGUGGGUCAGCUGAGGGCCAUAAUAAAUCCUGGCCAGCCCUGCCCAGUAAUCUUUAGACUCCGACUCCUCCUCGACUGCCUUCCUGGGAAAUUCCUUUGGCACAUUGCUUCAAGGUGAGUAAAUGGGCAGGAACAGUGGAGGAGGUGUUUAGAAGUGGCCUUGACUCCUCUUUCAGUUGGAAACUGUGUCUGAAACCUGAGCCAGGAGAUGCUUGUCUUACACUACUGUGGCUGGGAGAGUUACUGUUAUAACCUAGGGGGCAAGGAAGACAGCAGAAAAAGAAAACCUGGAUGUGAAUGCCACGUAAAUCAUGGGGCAAGGGUCCUGAGUAUGCAGGUACAUCUAACCAUGUUUUUUUUGUCUGAGGUGGUCAUGGAGUUUGACUCUGAAAGUCAUGCAGGUGAUCCAGAAAAAGAGCCAGGAAAAAUGGCUAAAAGGCAACACCGUCCAGGGGAAUGUUCUGUGAUGAUGGGAAUGUUCUAUAUCUGUGCUGUUCUGUCAGUAGCAACUAGUCAUAUGGCUGCUGGGCACUUGGAAUGUGGUAGUGUAGUGUGAUUGAGAAGCAGAAUUUCUUAUUUUAUCUAUCUAUCUAUCAUCUAUCUAUCUAUCUAUCUACUGUAUUUUAUUUUAGAGAGCGAGAGAGCACAAACAGGGGAGAGGGCCUGAGGGA